rnacentral:tRNA from 1 species
GGGCCUGUAGCUCAUUUGGUAGAGCGCUUCCAUGGCAUGGAAGAGGCGGUCGGUUCGAUCCCGAUCAGGUCCAC